GGAUGUGAGAGCACUCUGAAUGCAACAUCACUCAGCCCACUGACCCCCAGGGGUGAUUCAGCUGACAGGACUGGCUGGGCUGGUGUCCCCUUCUUCCCUCACUGCUCCCUGCGUGUCCCUCCCAAAGCUGCAGAUAGAGGAGGACCAGGCUUUGGUGGAGGGAGACGAGUGGCUGCGGUCCCCUGCUAGAACCUCCAUCCCUCUGGAGGCUCAGAGUCUAGACAGCGUCAUAGCAAAGUUUCUUUGGUUUCCAUUUCACCCUGUCACU
rnacentral:snRNA from 1 species